AUGAAGAAGCAUCUGAGGACCUGCUUGGUGAUUUUGUGGCUUUAUUUUUAUAGGGGGAGUGGCAAAAACCAAGUGGAGCAGAGUCCUCAGUCCCUGAUCAUCCUGGAGGGAAAGAACUGCACUCUUCAAUGCAAUUAUACAGUGAGCCCCUUCAACAACUUAAGGUGGUAUAAGCAAGAUACUGGGAGAGGUCCUGUUUCCCUGACAAUCAUGACUUUCAGUGAGAACACAAAGUCGAACGGAAGGUACACAGCAACUCUGGAUGCAGACACAAAGCAAAGCUCUCUGCACAUCACAGCCUCCCAGCUCAGCGAUUCAGCCUCCUACAUCUGUGUGGUGAGCGCACUGUGCUCCACAGGCACUUGAAGCCAGUAUGCAAACCUGCACC